rnacentral:rRNA from 1 species
CCUACGGGGCGCAGCAGUGGGGAAUAUUGGACAAUGGGCGAAAGCCUGAUCCAGCCAUGCCGCGUGUGUGAAGAAGGCCUUCGGGUUGUAAAGCACUUUCAGUGGGGAAGAAAGCCUUGGGGCUAAUACCCUCGAGGAAGGACAUCACCCACAGAAGAAGCACCGGCUAACUCCGUGCCAGCAGCCGCGGUAAUACGGAGGGUGCGAGCGUUAAUCGGAAUUACUGGGCGUAAAGCGCGCGUAGGCGGUCUGAUAAGCCGGUUGUGAAAGCCCCGGGCUCAACCUGGGAACGGCAUCCGGAACUGUCAGGCUAGAGUGCAGGAGAGGAAGGUAGAAUUCCCGGUGUAGCGGUGAAAUGCGUAGAGAUCGGGAGGAAUACCAGUGGCGAAGGCGGUCUUCUGGACUGACACUGACGCUGAGGUGCGAAAGCGUGGGUAGCAAACAGGAUUAGAUACCCGUGUAGUC